GAUGAAGAACGCAGCGAAAUGCGAUACGUAAUGUGAAUUGCAAAUUCAGUGAAUCAUCGAGUCUUUGAACGCACAUUGCGCCCCCUGGUAUUCCGGGGGGCAUGCCUGUCCGAGCGUCAUUGCUGCCCUCAAGCACGGCUUGUGUGUUGGGCCCCGUCCUCCGAUCCCGGGGGACGGGCCCGAAAGGCAGCGGCGGCACCGCGUCCGGUCCUCGAGCGUAUGGGGCUUUGUCACCCGCUCUGUAGGCCCGGCCGGCGCUUGCCGAUCAACCCAAAUUUUUUAUCCAGGUUGACCUCGUAUCAGGUAGGGAUACCCGCUGAACUUAAGCAUAUCAAUAAGCGGAGGA
rnacentral:misc_RNA from 1 species